GCCGAAAUAGCUCAGUUGGGAGAGAGUUAGACUGAAGAUCUAAAGGUCCCCAGUUCAAUCCCGGGUUUCGGCA
rnacentral:tRNA from 1 species